rnacentral:misc_RNA from 1 species
GAAAUGCGAUAAGUAAUGUGAAUUGCAGAAUUCAGUGAAUCAUCGAAUCUUUGAACGCACAUUGCGCCCGCCAGCACUCUGGCGGGCAUGCCUGUUCGAGCGUCAUUUCAACCCUCAGAACCCCUUGCGGGAUCUGGCGUUGGGGAUUGGCAUCCAGCCAGCCCCGAAAUCUAGUGGCGGGCUCGCUGUCACACCGAGCGUAGUAGCAAUCACCUCGCUCAGGGCGUGCUGCGGGUUCCGGCCGUUAAACAGCCUUACAAAACCCAAGGUUGACCUCGGAUCAGGUAGGAAGACCCGCUGAACUUAAGC